AAAGGUGCCCCACGUUGGGUGCCAAUUGAGACAAAAUCUGUUUUUCCCUUGACUUAUCUCUAAUAUAUUAAAGGAGAGUCUAGGGAUAUCGCAUGCAAAUUUUGCGAUUGUGAUUUAUCGAUUCAAGUCAUCAAUCGAUUGUUUCAUCUCUCGAUGAGUAUUUAUCAUGCGAGAGAAUCGUAGAGGCAAUAUUGCCUUGUCAUUGUCAUCAAUCAAUUGAUUGAAAAUUCUAUCAUCAUUGAAUUUAAAUUUACAAAUAAAUAAAUAUCAAUACGUGUGUGUUGUUUAAUAAUUGAAUUAUUAAUUAAAUAUAGUGCAGUGUGUGUUUAAAUAUUAUUACGGAACUGACAGGAGGGAACUAUUAACACAAACCAUUUCUGCUGUAGGUGUUAUGUUGAUUUCAAUUAAUUAUGAUAUGAAAAACUAUCACAAGAUUGUGCAGUGUUAAAAUUUAACGAACAUUGAAACUACGGACAAGUGAUUCUCAUGGGAAAAAAGUGUAUGAAUAUGUGAAAUACUUUGUACUUAUGCGCAUAUGUGAACAUUUUUAUAUCAAAGCGAACCAAUGUGUUAUUAUUAAGAGCUAUGUGAACAUUUUCAUAUGAAAGCGAACAAAUGUGUUAAUAUCGAGAGAUGUGUCCAAAUAUUUAUACUAACGCCAAAAAAUGUGCUACCAAUAAGAAAGUGUAAAUCAAUAAAUUAUGAGAAGUUAAUGAAAAUAUUACCGUUAAUCAGA